UACGGGGGGGGCAAGCGUUGUUCGGAAUUACUGGGCGUAAAGGGCUCGUAGGUGGCCAACUAAGUCAGACGUGAAAUCCCUCGGCUUAACUGGGGAACUGCGUCUGAUACUGGAUGGCUUGAGUUUGGGAGAGGGAUGCGGAAUUCCAGGUGUAGCGGUGAAAUGCGUAGAUAUCUGGAGGAACACCGGUGGCGAAGGCGGCAUCCUGGACCAACACUGACACUGAGGAGCGAAAGCUAGGGGAGCAAACGGG
rnacentral:rRNA from 1 species